UACGAAGGGGGCUAGCGUUGCUCGGAAUGACUGGGCGUAAAGGGCGCGUAGGCGGAUGGCACAGUCAGAUGUGAAAUUCCCGGGCUUAACCUGGGGGCUGCAUUUGAUACGUGUUGUCUAGAGUGAGGAAGAGGGUUGUGGAAUUCCCAGUGUAGAGGUGAAAUUCGUAGAUAUUGGGAAGAACACCGAUGGCGAAGGCAGCUCGCUGGGACGGUACUGACGCUGAGGCGCGAAAGCGUGGGGAGCAAACAGG
rnacentral:rRNA from 1 species